AGUGAACGCUGGCGGUAGGCCUAACACAUGCAAGUCGAACGGCAGCACAGUAAUAGCUUGCUCUUACGGGUGGCGAGUGGCUGACUGGUGAGCGAUACAUCGAAAUCUACUUUUUCGUGGUGGAUAACGUAGGUAAACUUACGCUAAUACCGCAUACACCCUACGGGUGUAAGCAUUCGAUCUUCGGACCUUGCGCGAUUUAAUGAGCCGAUGUCGGAUUAGCUAGUUGUCGGGGUAAAGGCCCACCAAAGCGACGAGCCGUAGAAGGUCUGAGAGGAUGAGAAGAGAAACUGGAACUGAGAAACGGACCAGACUACUACGGGAGGCAGCAGUGGGGAAUAUUGACCAAUGGGAGCAAGCCUGAUCCAGGCAUAACGCGUGGGUGAAGAAGGCAUUCGGGUUGUAAAGCUUUUUUGGUGGGAAAGAAAAGAAGAAGGUUAAUACCGCGAGGUUCUGACGGUACCAAAAGAAUAAGCACCGGCUAACUUCGUG
rnacentral:rRNA from 1 species